UUAACUUAAAUUUGUAUAGAGUUGAGAUGUUUGCCUACGUUUGCCGUUAGGGGCGCUGUUCCAACUGCAUACAAACUUGAGUUA
rnacentral:pre_miRNA from 1 species